AUUGAACGCUGGCGGCAGGCCUAACACAUGCAAGUCGAACGGAAGAACAGUACUUGCUUGUGCUUUCAGCUGGCGAGUGGCGAGCAGGUGCUGGGUACCUCGCUGUUUGCUUUUUAGAACGGGCUAAAAUAGGGGCUCUUACGCUAUUAGUGCAUACGGACUAAGGGUGAAAUCUGCGGACCUUCGGCCCUUGGACGAUUGAAUGACCGGAGGUCGGAUUAGCUAGUUGGCGGGGUAAAGGCCCACCAAGGCGACGAUCCGUAGCUGGUCUGAGAGGAUGAUCAGUCACACUGGAACUGAGACACGGUCCAGACUCCUACGGGAGGCAGCAGUGGGGAAUAUUGGACAAUGGGCGCAAGCCUGAUCCAGCCAUACCGCGUGUGUGAAGAAGGUCUUCGGGUUGUAAAGCCCUUUUGGUGGGAAAGAAAAGCAGCAGGUUAAUACCCCGCUGUUCUGACGUUACCCAAAGAAUAAGCACCGGCUAACUUCGUG
rnacentral:rRNA from 1 species